rnacentral:rRNA from 1 species
AUUGAACGCUGGCGGCAUGCCUUACACAUGCAAGUCGAACGGUAACGGGUCCUUCGGGAUGCCGACGAGUGGCGAACGGGCGAGUAAUAUAUCGGAACGUGCCCAGUAGUGGGGGAUGACUACUCGAAAGAGUGGCUAAUACCGCAUGAGAUCUACGGGUGAAAGCAGGGGAUCGCAAGACCUUGUGCUACUAGAGCGGCCGAUGGCAGAUUAGGUAGUUGGUGGGAUAAAAGCUUACCAAGCCGACGAUCUGUAGCUGGUCUGAGAGGACGAUCAGCCACACUGGGACUGAGACACGGCCCAGACUCCUACGGGAGGCAGCAGUGGGGAAUUUUGGACAAUGGGCGCAAGCCUGAUCCAGCAAUGCCGCGUGCAGGAUGAAGGCCUUCGGGUUGUAAACUGCUUUUGUACGGAACGAAAAGCCCCGGGUUAAUACCCUGGGGUCAUGACGGUACCGUAAGAAUAAGCACCGGCUAACUACGUGCCAGCCGCCGCAGUAA